CUCCCACGGGGACAACCCGGUAAGGGCACGGGAAGAACACCCGUUUGAUGGGCUGGAGGUGGAAGCCCAGCAAUGGGUGGAGCUGACCAGUCCCAAUCGCCCGAGGACUUGACUGU
rnacentral:rRNA from 1 species